GGUUGCGAUCAUACCAGCACUAAUGCACCGGAUCCAUCAGAACUCCGCAGUUAAGCGUGCUUGGGCGAGAGUAGUACUAGGAUGGGUGACCCCCUGGGAAGUCCUCGUGUUGCAACCCC
rnacentral:rRNA from 1 species